rnacentral:sRNA from 1 species
GCAGCGGCAGCGCCGAGUCCGCCUCAGCGCGGAACCGGGGACCCACGCCGGCGGGGUCCGGGAACCCUCCCGGACGAGUCCGGCACCCGGGGUGAAUCGGUGCGUCUCUUCCGGCCCCGUUCCGGUGGAGCCCGCCGUAGGGCCACUUCCACGCCCGAACCCGUCAGCUAACCCGGUAGGCGUCUGGAAGAAGCGAA